GGUGCCCUAGCCAAGUGGUAAGGCCACGGUCUGCAAAACCGUUAUACUGCGGUUCGAAUCCGCAGGGCACCU
rnacentral:tRNA from 1 species